AAGAGAUGUGAUUGCAGCUAUGAUGGAGAUCACGUUGUCAGCCCAUUGCUCAGUAAUAGCGGAUUUUUCUCAUCUAGAUUACUGGUCUAGCUCUGAUGCAUCGUACGAUGAAGCGGCUGACUGCUUUUAUUCAGUAUAUAAAUACACCUUCAACGUUACAAUGAACAAACAUGUGAGUAUACGGUAAACAAUGACAGAAGAAAUCAGUAAAGCGAUCGGCCAAUGCACUUAUGUAUAUCACAGGCGACAUAAAUACUAAUGCAUCGGUGCCACAACAGCCACAAUAUCAUCAUGAAUCUUCUACAGUUCCUGUUCAUUACUCUCAACCACUCGCGUACAGCAAUAGAAUAUAGGCGAAAUAAUGAAAUGUUAAUUGUAACGAAUGAAUUCAAUGUCACAGUUUAAGAGAGUGCCUACGUCUGGCUGUGCUCUCGGGGCGUAACUCUGACGAUUACGGAAAUCGCCAAGCUUAUCGCUUACUAAGAAAGCCUUAGUGAAUAACAUAUACAGCCUUGGCUCGUACAAUACUACUAAUCCUGCUGAAGAGACUUAAAUGGAUGGGAUGGAGGAUACUACUUUUAAUUAGGGGUCCAUCUACCUAUGGAAAGACACUUGGUGUGUGAUACCUCGUGAAAUACUACAAAUGGCAGUUGGUUGUACACAAAUUAAAGAUCUUAAUAAACAUUUACUGAGUACUGAUGACUUUUUCUUGUUAAGAAGAGUUUAUAAUAUACAUAACUUAUUAGAUGCACAUGUGUAGUCCUAUCAUUAUUGACAACACUAACAACGAGCCAUGGGAGGUGGGACCCUGCAAUAUUCAGUAAGGAAUAGAAGAAGACUGAUGAAGAAAUUAUGAAGCUAGCUAAGCUAGCUAGCUAGCUAAGCUAUAAGGAAUGGUCAAGUGUAAAUUCUACUGAAUGUCCUGAGUUGAGACCAUCCACAGUAAUAUCUCUUCCAAGUAACAACUGUACUGAAAUUGAAUUCAAUAAGGACAACCAACAAAAUCAAACUCAAACUGUGUAUUCAAAUAUAAAACCCUCGGUUCCUAAUUCCCAUUUAAUUGAAAAUGUGUAUGGGAAUCCAAAGAAAAGCUUUAGGAUCCCUUAAAUAUCAACAGACAUAUUGAAAUCACGCCAGCUAUCAACAGCUGCAAUCCUAAAACAGAAUCUCCUGAUUGUCCUGACGCCCUUCACCUCCACAGACUGCUGGCUGAAAAUGCAAAAUGUUUAAUAGACAUUGAAAAACUAGAGCAGAAAUGAGAUAACGGAGCACACUGGGACCAAGGACCUUAAAACUAGCAAUAUUAAAUGCUGACCAAGCAACAGCAUUUAAGGGAGUUGCAUUUAAACCACCGUGAAAGAGUCAUAUAGCAAAAUCACGGAAAGGCGUACCCGACCAAUUUGUCUAAUACAUACAGCAGAUUCAAAUGAUUGGGGGAAGUUUUGUAACUUUGGAUAUUCAAAACCCCCUGAGCUUGUUGUAGUACCUGUAUCGAACCUGAUUAGAUGGAUUUUUCUGUCUUUCUUGUUACAUCAAGAGACAUGAAGAAAGAGAUAAAAUACAAAAUACCAACAAAGGGAAUACUUGACAAAAGUACUACCAUAAGGAAUAGGUAAUCAUUUCAUGUUAAAAACAGUUGAUACUAUAUAAGUAGUUAUUAUAUUACAUUCAUAGAUUCAUGAUAUUCUAUUUUUAAACAGAUGAAUAGAUCGUCAUGAUCGUAGAACAAUGUCGGAUUUGAAAAAAAACAAAAUCCACUUUUUAUUAUAGUUGGAUACAACAUUGACUAAAUAUUACGGCUACAAAUUUCAAAUUAAACAGUCGGUAAAGUGUCGGAUUUAAUAGAAGCAUGUGAUUUUUCUAGAAAUCUGUGUAAUUUAAUGUUAUUAUUUUUAUUUUGUUUCAAAACAAACCCUUUUAUUUGCUUGUACCUAUGCCUAUUUUCAUAUUAACAGAAUAUGAAUUAAAAUAGUUAUGACAAGAACUAACAUGAUUAUAUUAUUUUGAAAUGGCUGCCAUGUAGGGCA